AUAUUGGUCAAUGGGUGCGAGCCUGAACCAGCCAUGCCGCGCGCAGGAAGACGGCCUUCUGGGUUGUAAACUGCUUUUGUCAGGGGAUAAAAAGCCCAUGCGUGGGAAAUUGCAGGUACCUGACGAAUAAGCCACGGCUAACUACGUGCCAGCAGCCGCGGUAAUACGUCGGUGGCAAGCGUUGUCCGGAUUUAUUGGGUUUAAAGGGUGCGUAGGCGGCCUAUUAAGUCAGUGCUGAAAUAUUCCGGCUUAACCGGGAGGGUGGCAUUGAUACUGAUGGGCUUGAGUGGAGUCGAGGUAGGAGGAAUUGACGGUGUAGCGGUGAAAUGCUUAGAUAUCGUCAAGAACACCGAUAGUGUAGACAGCUUACUAGGCUUCAACUGACGCUGAGGCACGAAAGUGUGGGGAUCAAACAG
rnacentral:rRNA from 1 species